AAUUAAGGUUGGAGCUAGGGUUAGGGUUAGGUGUGGGGUUGGAGCUAGGGUUAGGGUUAGGGUUAGGGUUGGAGUUAGGGUUAGUGUUGGAGCUAGGGUUAGGGUUGGGCUUGGAGCUAGGAUUUUUCUGAGUGCAAUGAACCAACUCCCGAGUCUCUAGGACGUUCCUAAAAAAUUUUGAUUUUUUCCCAUAGGAAUGCAUGGGUUAGGGUUAGGGUUAGGGUUGGAGCUAGGGUUAGGGUUAGGGUUAGGGUUGGAGUUAGGGUUAGUGUUGGAGCUAGGGUUAGGGUUGGGCUUGGAGCUAGGAUUUUUCUGAGUGCAAUGAACCAACUCCUGAGUCUCUAGGACGUUCCUAAAAAAAAUUUAUUUUUUCCCAUAGGAAUGCAUGGGUUAGGGUUAGGGUUAGGGUUGGAGCUGGGGUUAGGGUUAGGGUUGGAGUUAGGGUUAGGGUUAGGGUUAAGGUUGGAGCUAGGGUUAGGGUUAGGGUUAGGAUUAGGGUGGAGCAAGGGUUAGGGUUAGGGUUAGAGCUAGGGUUAGGGUUGGGGCUAGGGUUAGGGUUAGGGUUAAGGUUGGAGCUAGGGUUAGGGUUAAGGUUAGGGUUGGAGCUAGGGUUAGGGUUAGGGUUAGGGUUGGAGCAAGGGUUAGGGUUAGGGUAAGGGUUGGAGUUAGGGUUAGGGUUAGGGUUAAGGUUGGAGCUAGGGUUACAGUUAGGGUUAGGGUUAGGGUGGAGCUAGGGUUAGGGUUAGGGUUAAGGUUGGAGUUAGGGUUAGUGUUGGAGCUAGGGUUAGGGUUGGGCUUGGAGCUAGGAUUUUUCUGAGUGCAAUGAACCAACUCCCGAGUCUCUAGGACGUUCCUAAAAAAAUUUGAUUUUUUCCCAUAGGAAUGCAUGGGUUAGGGUUAGGGUUAGGGUUGGAGCUAGGGUUAGGGUUAGGGUUAGGGUUGGAGUUAGGGUUAGUGUUGGAGCUAGGGUUAGGGUUGGGCUUGGAGCUAGGAUUUUUCUGAGUGCAAUGAACCAACUCCUGAGUCUCUAGGACGUUCCUAAAAAAAUUUGAUUUUUCCCCAUAGGAAUGCAUGGGUUAGGGUUAGGGUUAGGGUUGGAGCUGGGGUUAGGGUUAGGGUUGGAGUUAGGGUUAGGGUUAGGGUUAAGGUUGGAGCUAGGGUUAGGGUUAGGGUUAGGAUUAGGGUGGAGCUAGGGUUAGGGUUAGGGUUAGAGCUAGGGUUAGGGUUGGGGCUAGGGUUAGGGUUAGGGUUAGGGUUAAGGUUGGAGCUAGGGUUAGGGUUAAGGUUAGGGUUGGAGCUAGGGUUAGGGUUAGGGUUAGGGUUAGGGUUGGAGCAAGGGUUAGGGUUAGGGUAAGGGUUGGAGUUAGGGUUAGGGUUAGGGUUAAGGUUGGAGCUAGGGUUAGGGUUAGGGUUAAGGUUGGAGCUAGGGUUAGGAUUAGGGUGGAGCUAGGGUUAGGGUUAGGAUUAGGGUUAGGGUUAGGGUUGGGGCUAGGGUUAGGGUUAGGGUUAGGGUUAAGGUUGGAGCUAGGGUUAGGGUUAGGGUUAGGGUUGGAGCUAGGGUUAGGGUUAGGGUUAGGGUUGGAGCUAGGGUUAGGGUUAGGGUUGGAGCUAGGGUUAGGGUUAGGGUUAGGGUUGGAGUUAGGGUUAGUGUUGGAGCUAGGGUUAGGGUUGGGCUUGGAGCUAGGAUUUUUCUGAGUGCAAUGAACCAACUCCUGAGUCUCUAGGACGUUCCUAAAAAAAUUUGAUUUUUUCCCAUAGGAAUGCAUGGGUUAGGGUUAGGGUUAGGGUUGGAGCUAGGGUUAGGGUUAGGGUUUGGGUUGGAGUUAGGGUUAGUGUUGGAGCUAGGGUUAGGGUUGGGCUUGGAGCUAGGAUUUUUCUGAGUGCAAUGAACCAACUCCCGAGUCUCUAGGACGUUCCUAAAAAAAUUUGAUUUUUUCCCAUAGGAAUGCAUGGGUUAGGGUUAGGGUUAGGGUUGGAGCUAGGGUUAGGGUUAGGGUUAGGGUUGGAGUUAGGGUUAGUUUUGGAGCUAGGGUUAGGGUUGGGCUUGGAGCUAGGAUUUUUCUGAGUGCAAUGAACCAACUCCCGAGUCUCUAGGACGUUCCUAAAAAAAUUUGAUUUUUUCCCAUAGGAAUGCAUGGGUUAGGGUUAGGGUUAGGGUUGGAGCUAGGGUUAGGGUUAGGGUUGGAGUUAGGGUUAGUGUUGGAGCUAGGGUUAGGGUUGGGCUUGGAGCUAGGGUUAGGGUUAGGGUUAGGGUUAGGGUUGGAGCUAGGGUUAGGGUUAGGGUUGGAGCAAGGGUUAGGGUUAGGGUAAGGGUUGGAGUUAGGGUUAGGGUUAGGGUUAAGGUUGGAGCUAGGGUUACAGUUAGGGUUAGGGUUAGGGUGGAGCUAGGGUUAGGGUUAGGGUUAAGGUUGGAGCUAGGGUUAGGGUUAGGGUGAGGAUUAGGGUGGAGCUAGGAUUAGGGUUAGGAUUAGAGCUAGGGUUAGGGUUGGGGCUAGGGUUAGGGUUAGGGUUAAGGUUGGAGCUAGGGUUAGGGUUAGGGUUAGGGUUGGAGCUAGGGUUAGGGUUAGGGUUAGGGUUGGAGCUAGGGUUAGGGUUAGGGUUAGGGUUGGCGCUAGGGUUAGGGUUAGGGUUAGGGUUGGAGUUAGGGUUAGUGUUGGAGCUAGGGUUAGGGUUGGGCUUGGAGCUAGGAUUUUUCUGAGUGCAAUGAACCAACUCCCGAGUCUCUAGGACGUUCCUAAAAAAAUUUGAUUUUUUCCCAUAGGAAUGCAUGGGUUAGGGUUAGGGUUAGGGUUGGAGCUAGGGUUAGGGUUAGGGUUAGGGUUGGAGUUAGGGUUAGUGUUGGAGCUAGGGUUAGGGUUGGGCUUGGAGCUAGGAUUUUUCUGAGUGUAAUGAACCAACUCCUGAGUCUCUAGGACGUUCCUAAAAAAAAUUGAUUUUUUCCCAUAGGAAUGCAUGGGUUAGGGUUAGGGUUAGGGUUAGGGUUGGAGCUAGGGUUAGGGUUAGGGUUAGGGUUGGAGUUAGGGUUAGUGUUGGAGCUAGGGUUAGGGUUGGGCUUGGAGCUAGGAUUUUUCUGAGUGUAAUGAACCAACUCCUGAGUCUCUAGGACGUUCCUAAAAAAAUUUGAUUUUUUCCCAUAGGAAUGCAUGGGUUAGGGUUAGGGUUAGGGUUAGGGUUUGAGCUAGGGUUAGGGUUAGGGUUAGGGUUGGAGUUAGGGUUAGUGUUGGAGCUAGGGUUAGGGUUGGGCUUGGAGCUAGGAUUUUUCUGAGUGCAAUGAACCAACUCCCGAGUCUCUAGGACGUUCCUAAAAAAAUUUGAUUUUUUCCCAUAGGAAUGCAUGGGUUAGGGUUAGGGUUAGGGUUGGAGCUAGGGUUAGGGUUAGGGUUAGGGUUGGAGUUAGGGUUAUUGUUGGAGCUAGGGUUAGGGUUGGGCUUGGAGCUAGGAUUUUUCUGAGUGUAAUGAACCAACUCCUGAGUCUCUAGGACGUUCCUAAAAAAAUUUGAUUUUUUUCCCAUAGGAAUGCAUUGGUUAGGGUUAGGGUUAGGGUUGGAGCUAGGGUUAGGGUUAGGGUUAGGGUUGGAGUUAGGGUUAGUGUUGGAGCUAGGGUUAGGGUUGGGCUUGGAGCUAGGAUUUUUCUGAGUGUAAUGAACCAACUCCUGAGUCUCUAGGACGUUCCUAAAAAAUUUUGAUUUUUUCCCAUAGGAAUGCAUGGGUUAGGGUUAGGGUUAGGGUUGGAGCUAGGGUUAGGGUUAGGGUUAGGGUUGGAGUUAGGGUUAGUGUUGGAGCUAGGGUUAGGGUUGGGCUUGGAGCUAGUAUUUUUCUGAGUGUAAUGAACCAACUCCUGAGUCUCUAGGACGUUCCUAAAAAAAUUUGAUUUUUUCCCAUAGGAAUGCAUGGGUUAGGGUUAGGGUUAGGGUUGGAGCUAGGGUUAGGGUUAGGGUUAGGGUUGGAGUUAGGGUUAGUGUUGGAGCUAGGGUUAGGGUUGGGCUUGGAGCUAGGAUUUUUCUGAGUGCAAUGAACCAACUCCCGAGUCUCUAGGACGUUCCUAAAAAAAGUUUGAUUUUUUUCCCAUAGGAAUGCAUGGGUUAGGGUUAGGGUUAGGGUUGGAGCUAGGGUUAGGGUUAGGGUUAGGGUUGGAGUUAGGGUUAGUGUUGGAGCUAGGGUUAGGGUUGGGCUUGGAGCUAGGAUUUUUCUGAGUGUAAUGAGCCAACUCCUGAGUCUCUAGGACGUUCCUAAAAAAAUUUGAUUUUUUCCCAUAGGAAUGCAUGGGUUAGGGUUAGGGUUAGGGUUGGAGCUAGGGUUAGGGUUAGGGUUAGGGUUGGAGUUAGGGUUAGUGUUGGAGCUAGGGUUAGGGUUGGGCUUGGAGCUAGGAUUUUUCUGAGUGCAAUGAACCAACUCCCGAGUCUCUAGGACGUUCCUAAAAAAAUUUGAUUUUUUCCCAUAGGAAUGCAUGGGUUAGGGUUAGGGUUAGGGUUGGAGCUAGGGUUAGGGUUAGGGUUAGGGUUGGAGUUAGGGUUAUUGUUGGAGCUAGGGUUAGGGUUGGGCUUGGAGCUAGGAUUUUUCUGAGUGUAAUGAACCAACUCCUGAGUCUCUAGGACGUUCCUAAAAAAAUUUGAUUUUUUCCCAUAGGAAUGCAUGGGUUAGGGUUAGGGUUAGGGUUGGAGCUAGGGUUAGGGUUAGGGUUAGGGUUGGAGUUAGGGUUGGGCUUGGAGCUAGGGUUAGGGUUGGGCUUGGAGCUAGGAUUUUUCUGAGUGUAAUGAACCAACUCCUGAGUCUCUAGGACGUUCCUAAAAAAUUUGAUUUUUUCCCAUAGGAAUGCAUGGGUUAGGGUUAGGGUUAGGGUUGGAGCUAGGGUUAGGGUUAGGGUUAGGGUUGGAGUUAGGGUUAGUGUUGGAGCUAGGGUUAGGGUUGGGCUUGGAGCUAGUAUUUUUCUGAGUGUAAUGAAGCAACUCCUGAGUCUCUAGGACGUUCCUAAAAAAAUUUGAUUUUUUCCCAUAGGAAUGCAUGGGUUAGGGUUAGGGUUAGGGUUGGAGCUAGGGUUAGGGUUAGGGUUAGGGUUGGAGUUAGGGUUAGUGUUGGAGCUAGGGUUAGGGUUGGGCUUGGAGCUAGGAUUUUUCUGAGUGCAAUGAACCAACUCCCGAGUCUCUAGGACGUUCCUAAAAAAAUUUGAUUUUUUCCCAUAGGAAUGCAUGGGUUAGGGUUAGGGUUAGGGUUAGGGUUUGAGCUAGGGUUAGGGUUAGGGUUAGGGUUGGAGUUAGGGUUAGUGUUGGAGCUAGGGUUAGGGUUGGGCUUGGAGCUAGGAUUUUUCUGAGUGCAAUGAACCAACUCCCGAGUCUCUAGGACGUUCCUAAAAAAAUUUGAUUUUUUCCCAUAGGAAUGCAUGGGUUAGGGUUAGGGUUAGGGUUGGAGCUAGGGUUAGGGUUAGGGUUAGGGUUGGAGUUAGGGUUAGUGUUGGAGCUAGGGUUAGGGUUGGGCUUGGAGCUAGGAUUUUUCUGAGUGCAAUGAACCAACUCCCGAGUCUCUAGGACGUUCCUAAAAAAAUUUGAUUUUUUUCCCAUAGGAAUGCAUGGGUUAGGGUUAGGGUUAGGGUUGGAGCUAGGGUUAGGGUUAGGGUUAGGGUUGGAGUUAGGGUUAGUGUUGGAGCUAGGGUUAGGGUUGGGCUUGGAGCUAGGAUUUUUCUGAGUGUAAUGAGCCAACUCCUGAGUCUCUAGGACGUUCCUAAAAAAAUUUGAUUUUUUCCCAUAGGAAUGCAUGGGUUAGGGUUAGGGUUAGGGUUGGAGCUAGGGUUAGGGUUAGGGUUAGGGUUGGAGUUAGGGUUAGUGUUGGAGCUAGGGUUAGGGUUGGGCUUGGAGCUAGGAUUUUUCUGAGUGCAAUGAACCAACUCCCGAGUCUCUAGGACGUUCCUAAAAAAAUUUGAUUUUUUCCCAUAGGAAUGCAUGGGUUAGGGUUAGGGUUAGGGUUGGAGCUAGGGUUAGGGUUAGGGUUAGGGUUGGAGUUAGGGUUAGUGUUGGAGCUAGGGUUAGGGUUGGGCUUGGAGCUAGGAUUUUUCUGAGUGCAAUGAACCAACUCCCGAGUCUCUAGGACGUUCCUAAAAAAAUUUGAUUUUUUUCCCAUAGGAAUGCAUGGGUUAGGGUUAGGGUUAGGGUUGGAGCUAGGGUUAGGGUUAGGGUUAGGGUUGGAGUUAGGGUUAGUGUUGGAGCUAGGGUUAGGGUUGGGCUUGGAGCUAGGAUUUUUCUGAGUGUAAUGAGCCAACUCCUGAGUCUCUAGGACGUUCCUAAAAAAAUUUGAUUUUUUCCCAUAGGAAUGCAUGGGUUAGGGUUAGGGUUAGGGUUGGAGCUAGGGUUAGGGUUAGGGUUAGGGUUGGAGUUAGGGUUAGUGUUGGAGCUAGGGUUAGGGUUGGGCUUGGAGCUAGGAUUUUUCUGAGUGCAAUGAACCAACUCCCGAGUCUCUAGGACGUUCCUAAAAAAAUUUGAUUUUUUCCCAUAGGAAUGCAUGGGUUAGGGUUAGGGUUAGGGUUGGAGCUAGGGUUAGGGUUAGGGUUAGGGUUGGAGUUAGGGUUAUUGUUGGAGCUAGGGUUAGGGUUGGGCUUGGAGCUAGGAUUUUUCUGAGUGUAAUGAACCAACUCCUGAGUCUCUAGGACGUUCCUAAAAAAAUUUGAUUUUUUCCCAUAGGAAUGCAUGGGUUAGGGUUAGGGUUAGGGUUGGAGCUAGGGUUAGGGUUAGGGUUAGGGUUGGAGUUAGGGUUGGGCUUGGAGCUAGGGUUAGGGUUGGGCUUGGAGCUAGGAUUUUUCUGAGUGUAAUGAACCAACUCCUGAGUCUCUAGGACGUUCCUAAAAAAUUAAUUUUUUCCCAUAGGAAUGCAUGGGUUAGGGUUAGGGUUAGGGUUGGAGCUAGGGUUAGGGUUAGGGUUAGGGUUGGAGUUAGGGUUAGUGUUGGAGCUAGGGUUAGGGUUGGGCUUGGAGCUAGUAUUUUUCUGAGUGUAAUGAAGCAACUCCUGAGUCUCUAGGACGUUCCUAAAAAAAUUUGAUUUUUUCCCAUAGGAAUGCAUGGGUUAGGGUUAGGGUUAGGGUUGGAGCUAGGGUUAGGGUUAGGGUUAGGGUUGGAGUUAGGGUUAGUGUUGGAGCUAGGGUUAGGGUUGGGCUUGGAGCUAGGAUUUUUCUGAGUGCAAUGAACCAACUCCCGAGUCUCUAGGACGUUCCUAAAAAAAUUUGAUUUUUUCCCAUAGGAAUGCAUGGGUUAGGGUUAGGGUUAGGGUUAGGGUUUGAGCUAGGGUUAGGGUUAGGGUUAGGGUUGGAGUUAGGGUUAGUGUUGGAGCUAGGGUUAGGGUUGGGCUUGGAGCUAGGAUUUUUCUGAGUGCAAUGAACCAACUCCCGAGUCUCUAGGACGUUCCUAAAAAAAUUUGAUUUUUUCCCAUAGGAAUGCAUGGGUUAGGGUUAGGGUUAGGGUUGGAGCUAGGGUUAGGGUUAGGGUUAGGGUUGGAGUUAGGGUUAUUGUUGGAGCUAGGGUUAGGGUUGGGCUUGGAGCUAGGAUUUUUCUGAGUGUAAUGAACCAACUCCUGAGUCUCUAGGACGUUCCUAAAAAAAUUUGAUUUUUUCCCAUAGGAAUGCAUGGGUUAGGGUUAGGGUUAGGGUUGGAGCUAGGGUUAGGGUUAGGGUUAGGGUUGGAGUUAGGGUUAGUGUUGGAGCUAGGGUUAGGGUUGGGCUUGGAGCUAGGAUUUUUCUGAGUGUAAUGAACCAACUCCUGAGUCUCUAGGACGUUCCUAAAAAAUUUUGAUUUUUUCCCAUAGGAAUGCAUGGGUUAGGGUUACGGUUAGGGUUGGAGCUAGGGUUAGGGUUAGGGUUAGGGUUGGAGUUAGGGUUAGUGUUGGAGCUAGGGUUAGGGUUUGGCUUGGAGCUAGUAUUUUUCUGAGUGUAAUGAACCAACUCCUGAGUCUCUAGGACGUUCCUAAAAAAUUUUGAUUUUUUCCCAUAGGAAUGCAUGGGUUAGGGUUAGGGUUAGGGUUGGAGCUAGGGUUAGGGUUAGGGUUAGGGUUGGAGUUAGGGUUAGUGUUGGAGCUAGGGUUAGGGUUGGGCUUGGAGCUAGGAUUUUUCUGAGUGCAAUGAACCAACUCCCGAGUCUCUAGGACGUUCCUAAAAAAAUUUGAUUUUUUUCCCAUAGGAAUGCAUGGGUUAGGGUUAGGGUUAGGGUUGGAGCUAGGGUUAGGGUUAGGGGUUAGGGUUGGAGUUAGGGUUAGUGUUGGAGCUAGGGUUAGGGUUGGGCUUGGAGCUAGGAUUUUUCUGAGUGUAAUGAGCCAACUCCUGAGUCUCUAGGACGUUCCUAAAAAAAUUUGAUUUUUUCCCAUAGGAAUGCAUGGGUUAGGGUUAGGGUUAGGGUUGGAGCUAGGGUUAGGGUUAGGGUUAGGGUUGGAGUUAGGGUUAGUGUUGGAGCUAGGGUUAGGGUUGGGCUUGGAGCUAGGAUUUUUCUGAGUGCAAUGAACCAACUCCCGAGUCUCUAGGACGUUCCUAAAAAAAUUUGAUUUUUUCCCAUAGGAAUGCAUGGGUUAGGGUUAGGGUUAGGGUUGGAGCUAGGGUUAGGGUUAGGGUUAGGGUUGGAGUUAGGGUUAGUGUUGGAGCUAGGGUUAGGGUUGGGCUUGGAGCUAGGAUUUUUCUGAGUGCAAUGAACCAACUCCCGAGUCUCUAGGACGUUCCUAAAAAAAUUUGAUUUUUUUCCCAUAGGAAUGCAUGGGUUAGGGUUAGGGUUAGGGUUGGAGCUAGGGUUAGGGUUAGGGUUAGGGUUGGAGUUAGGGUUAGUGUUGGAGCUAGGGUUAGGGUUGGGCUUGGAGCUAGGAUUUUUCUGAGUGUAAUGAGCCAACUCCUGAGUCUCUAGGACGUUCCUAAAAAAAUUUGAUUUUUUCCCAUAGGAAUGCAUGGGUUAGGGUUAGGGUUAGGGUUGGAGCUAGGGUUAGGGUUAGGGUUAGGGUUGGAGUUAGGGUUAGUGUUGGAGCUAGGGUUAGGGUUGGGCUUGGAGCUAGGAUUUUUCUGAGUGCAAUGAACCAACUCCCGAGUCUCUAGGACGUUCCUAAAAAAAUUUGAUUUUUUCCCAUAGGAAUGCAUGGGUUAGGGUUAGGGUUAGGGUUGGAGCUAGGGUUAGGGUUAGGGUUAGGGUUGGAGUUAGGGUUAUUGUUGGAGCUAGGGUUAGGGUUGGGCUUGGAGCUAGGAUUUUUCUGAGUGUAAUGAACCAACUCCUGAGUCUCUAGGACGUUCCUAAAAAAAUUUGAUUUUUUCCCAUAGGAAUGCAUGGGUUAGGGUUAGGGUUAGGGUUGGAGCUAGGGUUAGGGUUAGGGUUAGGGUUGGAGUUAGGGUUAUUGUUGGAGCUAGGGUUAGGGUUGGGCUUGGAGCUAGGAUUUUUCUGAGUGUAAUGAACCAACUCCUGAGUCUCUAGGACGUUCCUAAAAAAUUUGAUUUUUUCCCAUAGGAAUGCAUGGGUUAGGGUUAGGGUUAAGGUUGGAGCUAGGGUUAGGGUUAGGGUUAGGGUUGGAGUUAGGGUUAGUGUUGGAGCUAGGGUUAGGGUUGGGCUUGGAGCUAGUAUUUUUCUGAGUGUAAUGAAGCAACUCCUGAGUCUCUAGGACGUUCCUAAAAAAAUUUGAUUUUUUCCCAUAGGAAUGCAUGGGUUAGGGUUAGGGUUAGGGUUGGAGCUAGGGUUAGGGUUAGGGUUAGGGUUGGAGUUAGGGUUAGUGUUGGAGCUAGGGUUAGGGUUGGGCUUGGAGCUAGGAUUUUUCUGAGUGCAAUGAACCAACUCCCGAAUCUCUAGGACGUUCCUAAAAAAAUUUGAUUUUUUUCCCAUAGGAAUGCAUGGGUUAGGGUUAGGGUUAGGGUUGGAGCUAGGGUUAGGGUUAGGGUUAGGGUUGGAGUUAGGGUUAGUGUUGGAGCUAGGGUUAGGGUUGGGCUUGGAGCUAGGAUUUUUCUGAGUGUAAUGAGCCAACUCCUGAGUCUCUAGGACGUUCCUAAAAAAUUUUGAUUUUUUCCCAUAGGAAUGCAUGGGUUAGGGUUAGGGUUAGGGUUGGAGCUAGGGUUAGGGUUAGGGUUAGGGUUGGAGUUAGGGUUAGUGUUGGAGCUAGGGUUAGGGUUGGGCUUGGAGCUAGUAUUUUUCUGAGUGUAAUGAACCAACUCCUGAGUCUCUAGGACGUUCCUAAAAAAAUUUGAUUUUUUCCCAUAGGAAUGCAUGGGUUAGGGUUGGAGCUAGGGUUAGGGUUAGGGGUUAGGGUUGGAGUUAGGGUUAGUGUUGGAGCUAGGGUUAGGGUUGGGCUUGGAGCUAGGAUUUUUCUGAGUGCAAUGAACCAACUCCCGAGUCUCUAGGACGUUCCUAAAAAAAUUUGAUUUUUUUCCCAUAGGAAUGCAUGGGUUAGGGUUAGGGUUAGGGUUGGAGCUAGGGUUAGGGUUGGGCUUGGAGCUAGGAUUUUUCUGAGUGUAAUGAACCAACUCCUGAGUCUCUAGGACGUUCUGGUUAAUGAACCAACUCCUGAGUCUCUAGGACGUUCUAAAAAAUUUGAUUUUUUCCCAUAGGAAUGCAUGGGUUAGGGUUAGGGUUGGGCUUGGAGCUAGGAUUUUUCUGAGUGCAAUGAACCAACUCCCGAGUCUCUAGGACGUUCCUAAAAAAAUUUGAUUUUUUCCCAUAGGAAUGCAUGGGUUAGGGUUAGGGUUAGGGUUGGAGCUAGGGUUAGGGUUAGGGUUAGGGUUGGAGUUAGGGUUAGUGUUGGAGCUAGGGUUAGGGUUGGGCUUGGAGCUAGGAUUUUUCUGAGUGUAAUGAACCAACUCCUGAGUCUCUAGGACGUUCCUAAAAAAAUUUGAUUUUUUCCCAUAGGAAUGCAUGGGUUAGGGUUAGGGUUAGGGUUGGAGCUAGGGUUAGGGUUAGGGUUAGGGUUGGAGUUAGGGUUAGUGUUGGAGCUGGGGUUAGGGUUGGGCUUGGAGCUAGGAUUUUUCUGAGUGUAAUGAACCAACUCCUGAGUCUCUAGGACGUUCCUAAAAAAAUUUGAUUUUUUCCCAUAGGAAUGCAUGGGUUAGGGUUAGGGUUAGGGUUGGAGCUAGGGUUAGGGUUAGGGUUAGGGUUGGAGUUAGGGUUAGUGUUGGAGCUAGGGUUAGGGUUGGGCUUGGAGCUAGGAUUUUUCUGAGUGUAUUGAACCAACUCCUGAGUCUCUAGGACGUUCCUAAAAAAAUUUGAUUUUUUUCCAUAGGAAUGCAUGGGUUAGGGUUAGGGUUAGGGUUGGAGCUAGGGUUAGGGUUAGGGUUAGGGUUGGAGUUAGGGUUAGUGUUGGAGCUAGGGUUAGGGUUGGGCUUGGAGCUAGGAUUUUUCUGAGUGUAAUGAACCAACUCCUGAGUCUCUAGGACGUUCCUAAAAAAAUUUGAUUUUUUCCCAUAGGAAUGCAUGGGUUAGGGUUAGGGUUAGGGUUAGGGUUGGAGCUAGGGUUAGGGUUAGGGUUAGGGUUGGAGUUAGGGUUAGUGUUGGAGCUAGGGUUAGGGUUGGGCUUGGAGCUAGGAUUUUUCUGAGUGCAAUGAACCAACUCCCGAGUCUCUAGGACGUUCCUAAAAAAAUUUGAUUUUUUUCCCAUAGGAAUGCAUGGGUUAGGGUUAGGGUUAGGGUUGGAGCUAGGGUUAGGGUUAGGGUUAGGGUUGGAGUUAGGGUUAGUGUUGGAGCUAGGGUUAGGGUUGGGCUUGGAGCUAGGAUUUUUCUGAGUGUAAUGAACCAACUCCUGAGUCUCUAGGACGUUCCUAAAAAAAUUUGAUUUUUUCCCAUAGGAAUGCAUGGGUUAGGGUUAGGGUUAGGGUUGGAGCUAGGGUUAGGGUUAGGGUUAGGGUUGGAGUUAGGGUUAGUGUCGGAGCUGGGGUUAGGGUUGGGCUUGGAGCUAGGAUUUUUCUGAGUGUAAUGAACCAACUCCUGAGUCUCUAGGACGUUCCUAAAAAAAUUUGAUUUUUUCCCAUAGGAAUGCAUGGGUUAGGGUUAGGGUUAGGGUUGGAGCUAGGGUUAGGGUUAGGGUUAGGGUUGGAGUUAGGGUUAGUGUUGGAGCUAGGGUUAGGGUUGGGCUUGGAGCUAGGAUUUUUCUGAGUGUAUUGAACCAACUCCUGAGUCUCUAGGACGUUCCUAAAAAAAUUUGAUUUUUUUCCAUAGGAAUGCAUGGGUUAGGGUUAGGGUUAGGGUUGGAGCUAGGGUUAGGGUUAGGGUUAGGGUUGGAGUUAGGGUUAGUGUUGGAGCUAGGGUUAGGGUUGGGCUUGGAGCUAGGAUUUUUCUGAGUGCAAUGAACCAACUCCCGAGUCUCUAGGACGUUCCUAAAAAAAUUUGAUUUUUUUCCCAUAGGAAUGCAUGGGUUAGGGUUAGGGUUAGGGUUGGAGCUAGGGUUAGGGUUAGGGUUAGGGUUGGAGUUAGGGUUAGUGUUGGAGCUAGGGUUAGGGUUGGGCUUGGAGCUAGGAUUUUUCUGAGUGCAAUGAACCAACUCCCGAGUCUCUAGGACGUUCCUAAAAAAAUUUGAUUUUUUCCCAUAGGAAUGCAUGGGUUAGGGUUAGGGUUAGGGUUGGAGCUAGGGUUAGGGUUAGGGUUAGGGUUGGAGUUAGGGUUAGUGUUGGAGCUAGGGUUAGGGUUGGGCUUGGAGCUAGGAUUUUUCUGAGUGUAAUGAACCAACUCCUGAGUCUCUAGGACGUUCCUAAAAAAAUUUGAUUUUUUCCCAUAGGAAUGCAUGGGUUAGGGUUAGGGUUAGGGUUGGAGCUAGGGUUAGGGUUAGGGGGUUAGUUAGGGUUUGGAGCUAGGGUUAGGGUUGGGUUAGAUUUUUCUGAGUUAAUGAACCAACUCCUGAGUCUCUAGGACGUUCCUAAAAAAUUGAUUUUUUCCCAUAGGAAUGCAGUAGGUUAGGGUUAGGGUUGGAGCUAGGGUUAGGGUUAGGGUUAGGGUUGGAGUUAGGGUUAGUGUUGGAGCUAGGGUUAGGGUUGGGCUUGGAGCUAGGAUUUUUCUGAGUGUAAUGAACCAACUCCUGAGUCUCUAGGACGUUCCUAAAAAAAUUUGAUUUUUUCCCAUAGGGAAUGCUAGGGUUAGGGUUAGGGUUAGGUUGGAGUUAGGGUUAGUGUUGACUAGGGUUAGGGUUGGGCUUGGAGCUAGGAUUUUCUGAGGUUAGGGUUGGAGCUAGGGUUGGAGCUAGGGUUAGGGUUAGGGUUGGAGUUAGGGUUAGUGUUGGAGCUAGGGUUAGGGUUGGGCUUGGAGCUAGGAUUUUUCUGAGUGUAAUGAACCAACUCCUGAGUCUCUAGGACGUUCCUAAAAAAAUUUGAUUUUUUCCCAUAGGAAUGCAUGGGUUAGGGUUAGGGUUAGGGUUGGAGCUAGGGUUAGGGUUAGGGUUAGGGUUGGAGUUAGGGUUAGUGUUGGAGCUAGGGUUAGGGUUGGGCUUGGAGCUAGGAUUUUUCUGAGUGUAAUGAACCAACUCCUGAGUCUCUAGGACGUUCCUAAAAAAAUUUGAUUUUUUCCCAUAGGAAUGCAUGGGUUAGGGUUAGGGUUAGGGUUGGAGCUAGGGUUAGGGUUAGGGUUAGGGUUGGAGUUAGGGUUAGUGUUGGAGCUAGGGUUAGGGUUGGGCUUGGAGCUAGGAUUUUUCUGAGUGCAAUGAACCAACUCCCGAGUUCUCUAGGACGUUCCUAAAAAAAUUUGAUUUUUUCCCAUAGGAAUGCAUGGGUUAGGGUUAGGGUUAGGGUUAGGGUUGGAGCUAGGGUUAGGGUUAGGGUUAGGGUUGGAGUUAGGGUUAGUGUUGGAGCUAGGGUUAGGGUUGGGCUUGGAGCUAGGAUUUUUCUGAGUGCAAUGAACCAACUCCCGAGUCUCUAGGACGUUCCUAAAAAAAUUUGAUUUUUUCCCAUAGGAAUGCAUGGGUUAGGGUUAGGGUUAGGGUUGGAGCUAGGGUUAGGGUUAGGGUUAGGGUUGGAGUUAGGGUUAGUGUUGGAGCUAGGGUUAGGGUUGGGCUUGGAGCUAGGAUUUUUCUGAGUGUAAUGAGCCAACUCCUGAGUCUCUAGGACGUUCCUAAAAAAAUUUGAUUUUUUCCCAUAGGAAUGCAUGGGUUAGGGUUAGGGUUAGGGUUGGAGCUAGGGUUAGGGUUAGGGUUAGGGUUGGAGUUAGGGUUAGUGUUGGAGCUAGGGUUAGGGUUGGGCUUGGAGCUAGGAUUUUUCUGAGUGCAAUGAACCAACUCCCGAGUCUCUAGGACGUUCCUAAAAAAAUUUGAUUUUUUCCCAUAGGAAUGCAUGGGUUAGGGUUAGGGUUAGGGUUGGAGCUAGGGUUAGGGUUAGGGUUAGGGUUGGAGUUAGGGUUAUUGUUGGAGCUAGGGUUAGGGUUGGGCUUGGAGCUAGGAUUUUUCUGAGUGUAAUGAACCAACUCCUGAGUCUCUAGGACGUUCCUAAAAAAAUUUGAUUUUUUCCCAUAGGAAUGCAUGGGUUAGGGUUAGGGUUAGGGUUGGAGCUAGGGUUAGGGUUAGGGUUAGGGUUGGAGUUAGGGUUAGUGUUGGAGCUAGGGUUAGGGUUGGGCUUGGAGCUAGGAUUUUUCUGAGUGCAAUGAACCAACUCCCGAGUCUCUAGGACGUUCCUAAAAAAAUUUGAUUUUUUUCCCAUAGGAAUGCAUGGGUUAGGGUUAGGGUUAGGGUUGGAGCUAGGGUUAGGGUUAGGGUUAGGGUUGGAGUUAGGGUUAGUGUUGGAGCUAGGGUUAGGGUUGGGCUUGGAGCUAGUAUUUUUCUGAGUGUAAUGAGCCAACUCCUGAGUCUCUAGGACGUUCCUAAAAAAAUUUGAUUUUUUCCCAUAGGAAUGCAUGGGUUAGGGUUAGGGUUAGGGUUGGAGCUAGGGUUAGGGUUAGGGUUAGGGUUGGAGUUAGGGUUAGUGUUGGAGCUGGGGUUAGGGUUGGGCUUGGAGCUAGUAUUUUUCUGAGUGUAAUGAACCAACUCCUGAGUCUCUAGGACGUUCCUAAAAAAAUUUGAUUUUUUCCCAUAGGAAUGCAUGGGUUAGGGUUAGGGUUAGGGUUGGAGCUAGGGUUAGGGUUAGGGUUAGGGUUGGAGUUAGGGUUAGUGUUGGAGCUAGGGUUAGGGUUGGGCUUGGAGCUAGGAUUUUUCUGAGUGCAAUGAACCAACUCCUGAGUCUCUAGGACGUUCCUAAAAAAAUUUGAUUUUUUCCCAUUGGAAUGCAUGGGUUAGGGUUGGAGCUAGGGUUAGGGUUAGGGUUAGGGUUGGAGUUAGGGUUAGUGUUGGAGCUAGGGUUAGGGUUGGGCUUGGAGCUAGGAUUUUUCUGAGUGUAAUGAACCAACUCCUGAGUCUCUAGGACGUUCCUAAAAAAAUUUGAUUUUUUCCCAUAGGAAUGCAUGGGUUAGGGUUAGGGUUAGGGUUGGAGCUAGGGUUAGGGUUAGGGUUAGGGUUGGAGUUAGGGUUGGGCUUGGAGCUAGGGUUAGGUUUGGGCUUGGAGCUAGGAUUUUUCUGAGUGUAAUGAACCAACUCCUGAGUCUCUAGGACGUUCCUAAAAAAAUUUGAUUUUUUCCCAUAGGAAUGCAUGGGUUAGGGUUAGGGUUAGGGUUGGAGCUAGGGUUAGGGUUAGGGUUAGGGUUGGAGUUAGGGUUAGUGUUGGAGCUAGGGUUAGGGUUGGGCUUGGAGCUAGGAUUUUUCUGAGUGCAAUGAACCAACUCCUGAGUCUCUAGGACGUUCCUAAAAAAAUUUGAUUUUUUCCCAUAGGAAUGCAUGGGUUAGGGUUAGGGUUAGGGUUGGAGCUAGGGUUAGGGUUAGGGUUAGGGUUGGAGUUAGGGUUAGUGUUGGAGCUGGGGUUAGGGUUGGGCUUGGAGCUAGUAUUUUUCUGAGUGUAAUGAACCAACUCCUGAGUCUCUAGGACGUUCCUAAAAAAAUUUGAUUUUUUCCCAUAGGAAUGCAUGGGUUAGGGUUAGGGUUAGGGUUGGAGCUAGGGUUAGGGUUAGGGUUAUGGUUGGAGUUAGGGUUAGUGUUGGAGCUAGGGUUAGGGUUGGGCUUGGAGCUAGGAUUUUUCUGAGUGUAAUGAACCAACUCCUGAGUCUCUAGGACGUUCCUAAAAAAAUUUGAUUUUUUCCCAUUGGAAUGCAUGGGUUAGGGUUGGAGCUAGGGUUAGGGUUAGGGUUGGAGUUAGGGUUAGUGUUGGAGCUAGGGUUAGGGUUGGGCUUGGAGCUAGGAUUUUUCUGAGUGUAAUGAACCAACUCCUGAGUCUCUAGGACGUUCCUAAAAAAUUUUGAUUUUUUCCCAUAGGAAUGCAUGGGUUAGGGUUAGGGUUAGGGUUGGAGCUAGGGUUAGGGUUAGGGUUAGGGUUGGAGUUAGGGUUAGUGUUGGAGCUAGGGUUAGGGUUGGGCUUGGAGCUAGGAUUUUUCUGAGUGUAAUGAACCAACUCCUGAGUCUCUAGGACGUUCCUAAAAAAUUUUGAUUUUUUCCCAUAGGAAUGCAUGGGUUAGGGUUAGGGUUAGGGUUGGAGCUAGGGUUAGGGUUAGGGUUAGGGUUGGAGUUAGGGUUAGUGUUGGAGCUAGGGUUAGGGUUGGGCUUGGAGCUAGGAUUUUUCUGAGUGUAAUGAACCAACUCCCGAGUCUCUAGGACGUUCCUAAAAAAAUUUGAUUUUUUUCCCAUAGGAAUGCAUGGGUUAGGGUUAGGGUUAGGGUUGGAGCUAGGGUUAGGGUUAGGGUUAGGGUUGGAGUUAGGGUUAGUGUUGGAGCUAGGGUUAGGGUUGGGCUUGGAGCUAGGAUUUUUCUGAGUGUAAUGAACCAACUCCUGAGUCUCUAGGACGUUCCUAAAAAAAUUUGAUUUUUUCCCAUAGGAAUGCAUGGGUUAGGGUUAGGGUUAGGGUUGGAGCUAGGGUUAGGGUUAGGGUUAGGGUUGGAGUUAGGGUUAGUGUCAGAGCUGGGGUUAGGGUUGGGCUUGGAGCUAGGAUUUUUCUGAGUGUAAUGAACCAACUCCUGAGUCUCUAGGACGUUCCUAAAAAAAUUUGAUUUUUUCCCAUAGGAAUGCAUGGGUUAGGGUUAGGGUUAGGGUUGGAGCUAGGGUUAGGGUUAGGGUUAGGGUUGGAGUUAGGGUUAGUGUUGGAGCUAGGGUUAGGGUUGGGCUUGGAGCUAGGAUUUUUCUGAGUGUAAUGAACCAACUCCUGAGUCUCUAGGACGUUCCUAAAAAAAUUUGAUUUUUUUCCAUAGGAAUGCAUGGGUUAGGGUUGGAGCUAGGGUUAGGGUUAGGGUUAGGGUUGGAGUUAGGGUUAGUGUUGGAGCUAGGGUUAGGGUUGGGCUUGGAGCUAGGAUUUUUCUGAGUGCAAUGAACCAACUCCCGAGUCUCUAGGACGUUCCUAAAAAAAUUUGAUUUUUUUCCCAUAGGAAUGCAUGGGUUAGGGUUAGGGUUAGGGUUGGAGCUAGGGUUAGGGUUAGGGUUAGGGUUGGAGUUAGGGUUAGUGUUGGAGCUAGGGUUAGGGUUGGGCUUGGAGCUAGGAUUUUUCUGAGUGUAAUGAGCCAACUCCUGAGUCUCUAGGACGUUCCUAAUAAAAUUUGAUUUUUUCCCAUAGGAAUGCAUGGGUUAGGGUUAGGGUUAGGGUUGGAGCUAGGGUUAGGGUUAGGGUUAGGGUUGGAGUUAGGGUUAGUGUUGGAGCUGGGGUUAGGGUUGGGCUUGGAGCUAGGAUUUUUCUGAGUGUAAUGAACCAACUCCUGAGUCUCUAGGACGUUCCUAAAAAAAUUUGAUUUUUUCCCAUAGGAAUGCAUGGGUUAGGGUUAGGGUUAGGGUUGGAGCUAGGGUUAGGGUUAGGGUUAGGGUUGGAGUUAGGGUUAGUGUUGGAGCUAGGGUUAGGGUUGGGCUUGGAGCUAGGAUUUUUCUGAGUGUAAUGAACCAACUCCUGAGUCUCUAGGACGUUCCUAAAAAAAAUUGAUUUUUUCCCAUAGGAAUGCAUGGGUUAGGGUUGGAGCUAGGGUUAGGGUUAGGGUUAGGGUUGGAGUUAGGGUUAGUGUUGGAGCUAGGGUUAGGGUUGGGCUUGGAGCUAGGAUUUUUCUGAGUGCAAUGAACCAACUCCCGAGUCUCUAGGACGUUCCUAAAAAAAUUUGAUUUUUUUCCAUAGGAAUGCAUGGGAAAAAAAAUUUGAAAAAUUUUCUAAGUGCCAACCCAAUUUUUCACCUUCCAGAAUUGUGUUAGGAGCACGUUUCAGGGCACGGGGAGUCUAUAGAACCUAAUUCUGGGGGAAGUUUUUUGAAAAGUUUACUUAGGGUUUGGGUUAGGGUUAGGGUUGGAGCUAGGGUUAGGGUUAGGGUUAAGGUUGGAGCUAGGGUUAGGGUUAGGGUUGUAGCCAGGGUUAGGGUUAUAGGGUUAGAGCUAGGGUUAGGGUUAGGGUUGGGGCUAGGGUUAGGGUUAGGGUUAGGGUUAAGAAUAAUAAAUAUGGUAUGUUAAAAAAUGCCAUAGUAUAGUUUAAUUCCUAUUAAAAUUUAGGUACAAAUAAAAUGUCAUAGUAUAGUAAGAUAAAAAUGUCAAAUCUUAGAAAGAAGAUAAUAUUGCGAAGUAUGGUAAAAAGGAGUAUAGUAUGGAGUAUAGUAUGAUGAAAAUUUCAAAUUUAGGCAUGAAAUAAAUGUCAUAGUAUAGUAUUGGAAAAAUGUCAAAGUAUAGUACGAUAAAAUUAAAACAUUUUUAUUUCAAAAUAAAAUUAAGACUUAAGAAUAAUAAAUAUGGUAUGCAAAAAAAUUGUCAUAGUAUAGUUUGUCAAAAAAUGUCAUGUCAAAUUUAAAUAAAAUUAAAAAUGAUGAAUAUCUGUGUGUGUUAAAAAAUGCCAUAGUAUAGUUGAAUUCAUAUUAAAAUUUAGGAAUUAAUAAAAAGUCAGAGUAUAGUAUGAUAAAAAUGUCAAAUUUUAGUAAAAAAAAAAUAUAUAUAUAUAUAUAUAUAUAUAUAUUGCCAAGUAUGGUAAAAAUAAAAUGUCAGAGUAUAGUAGGAUAAAAGUGUCAAAAUUAGAAUUUUUUUUAAUUGUAAAGUAUGUCAAAAAAUGUCAUGGUUUAGUAAGAUAAAAAAAAGUUGUCAUUCAGGUAUGAAUAAAAUGUCAUAGUAUAGUAUGAUAAAAAUUUCAAAUUUAAGAAAGUAUGAAAACAUGUCAUAAAUAGUGCGAUAAAAAUGUUGAAUUUAAGUUUGUUAAAAAAUGUAUAGUUUGUAAAAAAAAUGUCAGUCGGUAUCAUUAAAAAUUCAAAUUUUAGCAUGAAAAAAUUGUCAUAGUAUAGUAUAAGAAAAAUGUCAAAGUAUAGUAUGAUAAAAUUAGAAAUUUUUAGUGUGAAAAAAUGUCAUAGUUUAGUAUGUUAAAAAUGUCAAAGUAUAAUUUUUUUUUAAGAGAUUAUGGUAAAAAUUUUUAAUAAAAUUAGGAAUUAUAAAUAUGGUAUGUUUAAAAAAUGCCAUAGUAUAGUUUAAUUCAUAUUAAAAUUUAGGAAUUAAUAAAAUAUCAGAGUUUAGUAUAAUAAAAAUGUCAAAUCUUAGAAAGAAAAAAAAAAUCUUCAUAGUAUAGUUUGUCAAAAAAUUUCAUAAUAUAGUAUGAAAAAAUUUAUAAUUUAAGUAUGAAUAAAAUGUCAUAGUAUAGUAUGAUAAAAAUGUCAAAUUUUAAAAUGAAAAAAAAAAAUGUCAGCUGCAGUUUAAGCUUUUUAUUCAUAAUUUUCUAGGAGGAGAUACCUUUUGAAAGAAGCUUUUAAAAUGGGUGAUAAUCUUAAAAUGCAAAUGUUAGAACUAAUAUGGCCGACUUCAACUUGGGCAUGGCCUAUGGGUUACAGAAGCUAUGUUGAUUUUGUUAAGGUCCUUCAUAAGUGUCCCAAAUUUCAUAGCUGUAGGUGAAACACAGGGGAGGGGCUUAAUUUUUGAAUUAAGUGUACCAAAUUUUAUGUGGCUUUCCAUAUCUAUAGCAAUAUAUCGAAAUGACAGAUUUUUUUUUUUGAGACAUUUCAUAGCGCCAUUUCAUUACCAAUAACAAAAAUAGAGAACUCCUGCUAUUUCAAUAGGGCAAUUGCCUGCUGUGUCGGCGCGGCCCCCCAAUUGUGCUGCACCCUCGCUGACGACUGCUCUGUCACCAAUCAUAAAUUACUAUAAACACCAGUGUGUAUAGUGAGAAGAGAUGGGGGGGCAGAGUUUAAGGACAACCUCUGUAGGGCCUGGAUCAUCUCUGAGAGUUUGACAGGACUACUUACCUGGAGGUUUUAGGAAUAAAAACAACACCCAGGACAGAAUAAACAGACAAGUUGUGCCUGCAACAUACACACAACUUUACCUGUAAGCUCAUUAGACGAAAACGCUGUAGCUCAUCCCUCUUUUCAGCAUCCCAACCAAGACAGAUCCCUCACCCUUGGUACAAAGCGCAAUUAAACCCGAGCAGACGAAUAUAGCGCAGGCGGUGUAAUCUUUCUGAAUCACCUGGAAAGUCAAGAAGAUAAAAACCACUGCUCUUCUUUCUUCCUUACUGCAACGCCGGUGUGUCGUAAGGAACUAGGUUGGCCUCUUCAGCAUGUUUACUCGCAGCCAAGUACAAAUUAACCUCCCAAGAUCAACAAUAAACCUAAUUAGAGUUGUGUUCUGCAGCACACAUCUCUAAACACAGAUCACAGCUUGUUGAGAGAUGAAUCUCCAUCUGUCUGGCUGCACACUGGGAGGAGGAGAGACUCGGAGAAGAUCAGUCCCAAGAUUGCAGAACGAAGCGUUGUGUGUUUAUGUGUGUGUGUUUCAGAGAGUGAGAGAGGCCCUCGUGGCACAGGGUUACUUCCUCAUGUCAGCCUUUAUUUUAUGAUGUCAUGCUGCAGCAGCGAAGUGGGACAUGGCACAUGCAGGGAGAGCACGCUAUUGGAUUUGAGCAUGUUUAAGGGGGGUGUAUUGAGGGGGUUGGCGUUAUACUAAGAGGCUAGGACAGGAACAGCUCUGACCUGCCAUUUGAACCUCACUCCUGGGAUUCAGACAGGGGAGGCUCACGUCAGUUGAGAAAGAGCAGACUUGACGCAGCUCUCUGUUUCAUGUGCAGACGCAAACACAGAGAUGAAUUUCAGUGGAGUAAAAUCUGCUUUCACAUCGAUUUGUUUAAGAUCAGAUUGCCUGUAACACAAUCAGACACAGCACUUGUUUUUGUGACCAUGAAAUUGACAGAAAACAUUUCCCUGCUUAUCUUUUUAAUUCCUUAUGUAUCAAAUAAUCGACAAAAAUUGAAUUUCUAUGCUGUAUUUUCUCAUUUUCCAACUUAGGCAGAGGGAAUUUAUGGUCAUAGAGGGUUUUUUUUAGGUCCAGAAAAAGAUUAAAUAGGGCAAUUUUCUUGGAUAUGUGUUAUCUAACUCUGUAUUAAUUUCCCUAAGCUGCUGUUGGACAUGACAGCAUUAUCACUUUGCCUCUGUCACUGUGCGAGAUAAAGCAGUAGGGACACCCAGGUCCAAAUAUGUUGCUUUUAUAGGUAGUAGCUGUCCCAUUCAUCAUGUGCUAACACCGAGAGCUCUCUGUAAUCCCUGUCCAUAAGUCAAUGUAGGGCAGGUAUCUUCGGCCC